AGCAUUUUAAUUUCAAUAUAGCACCAAGAAUUCCAGUUAUACAAGAAAAAAAUAUUUGUCAACCAAACCACCAUCCUGUAGGUACGAACUAAAAGGUUAUAGCAUAAAUAUUACAAGAGGAACAUAACAAAAGAAAUUACUAAUAAGAUCACAUCACACCUCACUGGGUAUUUCAAAGAAUACGAGCAUUCAACUUCUGGAUUUGACUUGUAAUGCUCAUGAAGCCAUGCAUACCACUCUCUCUGGAGGAGUAUGUAUCCUUAUUUUGUGGCGUGAGCCCCUUACUCCACCGCCUCUCAGCUCGAUCACUGCCACUUCUUUCCAGACUGCCAUCCACAGUUUCCUCAUAAUUUUCUCUCAUGGCUCACUUAUUGUCAUCAGUGCAAACAAAAACACAAGGUGAUGCAGGUAGAAGCGUGAAAUAUAUUUGAUAUUGAUAAUUAUACGAACUCCGUUGAUAACCAUUGUAUGCCGGAAUACGUACAAUAAGGGUUAAUCCGUUGAUUCACUCAUGAAUACCGGAAGAACACAAUGAGAAGGGAACAAUCCCACCCUCUGUUAGAACCGGGUACACGAUCGAGAUAUUACAAUAUAAAUAUUUUGAGAAAUUACAACUCAAAAUAAUUGAAAUAUUACAAAGUAAAUAAUUUGAGAAAUUACAACCCAAAUAAUUUGAUACAACUGAAAUACACUGUAUAAAUAAAUUAUACGUAUAAACAAAGUCGAGUCGAGAUGAAUCUCUUCCCGCAAGAAGAUUAUCGCCCCGGUAGUGCUCUUCGGUUUGGCGUAUCUUCCCCAAAGGUAAAACGACUACGUCUCGGCGGAUGUAGCACCACAAUCCGGCGAGCUCCGGCGAACUAAAUAGGAUCAAGAACUGAGCACAAGUUUUUGCAGAGAGUGUUGUAUGUAAAUGGCAGAAUGCAGGAUUUUGUAGUGUAUUUCUGCAUGCUCUCCAUAGGCCUAUUUAUAGGCAUGUGGUGAGUAUGAAUUCAAUUCAUUGAAUUCAACUCCGGUGGCUGGAAGCUGUAAACGUUGAAGAGGUGGCCGGUGGGCGCAGCUAAUGAAGAAAACUUAGCUGCAAAAUUGAAUACGCAUGCAGAAGUCGUAACAGGCGUGCUUCUGAAACUGCUGCUGCUGUCAACUGCUGCUGUGACUGUUGCUGUGGGCUUGGGAAUUAAUUCAGUUGGGCCAAGAAAAUAAUUCUGUUGGGCCAAAAAUUAAAAGCCCAAUGGAGUUGGUCCAAAAAAUAGUUUUGGGCCCCAAACACCACCCCAAAGCACCAAUUGCCAAGAUCCAAGUCCUUGGCCGCGGCCCGUACCCGACCCGCCCGUCCGGCGGCGGCGGCGACGACGUCGUCGUCCGUCCGAUCGAUCGUCGGCGGCGGCGCGCGUGUGUGUGUGCGCGCGAGGCUAGUACUUAGAUCAAGCCCACUAGCAAGCCCACGAGUCAAUUUAUCAACUCCAUGUGCUUUGCUAUUCUUAUACAUGAAAAACAUCUCUAUGUUUUCCAAUGUGGGAUAACAUAACAAAUGUUAUUUUCCCUCUUCAACAUCCAAACUUUGACAUACAAUAUCUCACUCAUCGGAAAUCGGUUUUGAGACUUCAAGUAUAUCACGUUGAUCUACUCGAGAUGUAGAUUAACAUCCAAUCAUUAUUUUAAUUAAAUAAUAAAUAUUUAAUUAAAUAAUAAUUUUCAGAUAUGGCUUAAAACCAUAUUUCCAACAAUCCCCCACAUGAGUGAGAAAUCAGUAUGUGAAAGUGUGCAAACACUUAGCUCAGUCCUCUUAAGAUACAACAUUGCAUUUGGAAAGGUAGCUUGUGGCUUUGAACCUGCCAUAGUCAAUAUUAUCGAGUAUNCACCUUAGCAUCUUCCGUUCUCUUUGUAGUCUCAACUACAAUGGAAUCACGCAAACAUCAACCGAAUAGAUUUGUAAAAUAUUGAAGUUAACAGGAUACAAGCCUGCAAAUACUAUCUAGCCACUCAACAUAAAUAUUAAAAGGGAGAUUUGGAUGGUACAUUCAUUCUCUCGCCCAAAUUGUUUGCUAAUUAUAUCCUCUUAUCUCACAUUUACCGUUUCUGAAACUAAAUUCUUCCAAAAUCUCAAUUGUCUGACUGAAGGAAAUAGUGACAAUUUCAAUAUACUAAUGUAUAGCGGUGUUAAAGUUUGUGGAAAAACGAAAAUUCUGUAAAUCCUAAAACCGGAUCGAGCAGGACAGAAAGGGGAAAGAGAGAAACCGUUUUAGGGCGGAGGGAGGUAGGAAGCCUCUUUCAAUUUCAACAGAGAAAGCCCUAGAAGGCGGACUCGGAUCUUCUUUACCCAAUUCUUCAUUUCGAAUGUGGUCUGCAAUAUUUUUUACUCCUAAAAUGAUUUCUUGUGAAUUUUCACUAACUUCAACGGAUCAAUUUAAGGUUGGGUGUCGUCACUCGUUAUUCCACAAACACAUACAUACAACUUUUAC
rnacentral:lncRNA from 1 species